CCCGCUGAACUUAAGCAUAUCAAUAAGCGGAGGAAAAGAAACUAACAAGGAUUCCCCUAGUAACUGCGAGUGAAGCGGGAAAAGCUCAAAUUUAAAAUCUGGUGGCCUUUGGCCAUCCGAGUUGUAAUUUAGAGAAGCGUCUUCCGCGCUGGACCGUGCACAAGUCUCCUGGAAUGGAGCGUCGUAGAGGGUGAGAAUCCCGUCUUUGGCACGGACGCCCAGUGCUUCUGUGAUGCGCUCUCGAAGAGUCGAGUUGUUUGGGAAUGCAGCUCAAAAUGGGUGGUGAACUCCAUCUAAAGCUAAAUAUUGGCGAGAGACCGAUAGCGAACAAGUACCGUGAGGGAAAGAUGAAAAGCACUUUGGAAAGAGAGUGAAACAGUACGUGAAAUUGUUGAAAGGGAAACGCUUGAAGUCAGUCGCGUCGUCCGAGACUCAGCCUCGCCUCGGCUUGGUGUACUUCUCGGACGACGGGUCAGCAUCAAUUUUGCCCCUUGGAUAAUGGCGAGGGAAAUGUGACACCUUUGCGGGUGUGUUAUAGUCUCUAGUCGCAUGCAAGGGUCGGGAUUGAGGAACUCAGCACGCGCCUUCGGGCGUCGGGGUUCGCCCACGAUACGUGCUUAGGAUGUUGGCGUAAUGGCUUUAAACGCCCCGUCUUGAAACACGG
rnacentral:rRNA from 1 species